GGAUACACUGCCACGUAGGAUCACCAUCAAGCUCCAGGACACCAACAGACGAGUCGACUCCUCCACACCCUCCUCUCCAUUUCCCCUCACUCACCACAGACCGAGAGCCUCCAGGCUGCUCGAAUUUUGCCUCGUAUGUCCGCAGUACCGUCGCGGUAGAUCGUCGAUCGCGAGCAACAUCUCCAUUUUCAUCUGUGAGGGUGUCCGCGGGAAGCAUUAUUUUUCCUACGAGCAAUUUCGGGAGAAGUACGGUAUCUAGACGUUGUCUACGCCUUCAACGACUCCAUCGACUUGGGACGCUCGUCGUCCACAUCUUCGUCAGUUCCUGUACCCGCACCAUCGUUCCCGAUAUCAUCGUCGAUUGCCUGUGUCGUUUUUGGUAUUGUGUUCUUCUCUUGUUGUUCUUCUCUGUAAUGGUACCCUUAGUACUAGCAUAUAGAUACGGUAGGAUUUAGUUGGAAUCUCCUCCUUGCCUGCUAAUUCACACACAAAAGGUUUGUUUUAAUCGGAACACAGGACAUUGCUAUUUCAGAAUUUUAAAUGAGUUAGACAGUUUAGUCUGAACGCAUAGAUAGUUUCAGUAAAAUUCGUUUUGGGUUAGUUUGUACGUGUAACUUCAAAAGUGCAUAUCUUGUGUUCUGUUCAUCCGAAUUAUGCAAAUUAGAUACCGUCGGAACCCCUAGAAAAUAUAGAAUCCAGAGGAACUACAAUAUUACACUUUUGCAUCAUGUUUAUACACAGUUUUUGCAGAAAAUUCAA